GAGUAAGGCCCUGCAGCAACAGAGACUGCUAAUCUCUGCACCCGUGGUUAAACUCCACGGCUCACUCG
rnacentral:tRNA from 1 species